GGUUGCCUACGGGGCGCAGCAGUUAGGAAUAUUCGGCAAUGGGGGAAACCCUGACCGAGCAAUGCCGCGUGUGAGAUGACGGCCCUAUGGGUUGUAAAUCACUUUUAUUUGGGAAGAAUUGUAAGCAUAGGAAAUGAUGUUUACUUGACGGUACCUUUUGAAUAAGCCCCGGCUAACUACGUGCCAGCAGCCGCGGUAAUACGGAGGGUGCAAGCGUUACUCGGAAUCACUGGGCGUAAAGAGCGCGUAGGCGGGAUAGCAAGUCAGAUGGGAAAUCCUAUGGCUUAACCAUAGAAC
rnacentral:rRNA from 1 species